GACGAACGCUGGCGGCGUGCUUAACACAUGCGAGUCGAACGGAAAGGCCCUGCUUUUGUGGGGUGCUCGAGUGGCGAACGGGUGAGUAACACGUGAGUAACCUGCCCUUGACUUUGGGAUAACUUCAGGAAACUGGGGCUAAUACCGGAUAGGAGCUCCUGCUGCAUGGUGGGGGUUGGAAAGUUUCGGCGGUUGGGGAUGGACUCGCGGCUUAUCAGCUUGUUGGUGGGGUAGUGGCUUACCAAGGCUUUGACGGGUAGCCGGCCUGAGAGGGUGACCGGCCACAUUGGGACUGAGAUACGGCCCAGACUCCUACGGGAGGCAGCAGUGGGGAAUAUUGCAAAAUGGGCGGAAGCCUGAUGCAGCAACGCCGCGUGCGGGAUGACGGCCUUCGGGUUGUAAACCGCUUUCGCCUGUGACGAAGCGGGAGUGACGGUAAUGGGUAAAGAAGCACCGGCUAACUACGUG
rnacentral:rRNA from 1 species